rnacentral:rRNA from 1 species
UACGUAGGGUGCGAGCGUUAAUCGGAAUUACUGGGCGUAAAGCGUGCGCAGGCGGUUUUGUAAGCCAGAUGUGAAAGCCCCGGGCUCAACCUGGGAAUGGCAUUUGGGACUGCAAGGCUGGAGUUUGGCAGAGGAGACUGGAAUUCCUGGUGUAGCAGUGAAAUGCGUAGAUAUCGGGAAGAACACCCGUGGCGAAGGCGGUUCUCUGGGACGGUACUGACGCUGAGACGCGAAAGCGUGGGGAGCGAACAGG